rnacentral:rRNA from 1 species
CGACGGCAAGNAAACCCCGGAAAAGGCGCCCCAGUUCGGAUUGGAGUCUGCAACCCGACUCCAUGAAGCUGGAUUCGCUAGUAAUCGCGCAUCAGCCACGGCGCGGUGAAUACGUUCCCGGGCCUUGUACACACCGCCCGUCAAGCCAUGGGAGCCGGGAGUGCCUGAAGUACGUGACCGCAAGGAGCGUCCUAGGGUAAGACCGGUGACUGGGGCUAAGUCGUAACAAGGUAAC